UGCAGUACAGUGGUGAUAUAAGUGUCACUGGCAUAGUUAAUGUUGUAAUGCUGAAAUAGUAGCUAUGCAGCGUGCUAAUUCGUCUGUGCAGGCAGCUAAGCAGAGAUUGAAGCAGUUCCCUGUGGCCUUGAAAGAAUGUAGGACUGAGAUGUCAGCAUACGGGAAGUGUGUUUCAGAGAAGGAGGAUGUGAAAUGUAAUGAUUGCGCCAAAGAGUUCCAGGCUCUGAAGGAAUGUUUUAAGAAAACAAUGCAGAAAGCAGGAAAAAGGUAGCAGAUAAUGAGUGGACAUGACUUAAGAUAGAGAGAAACCAAUGCUGCAACCUGGGUCUGGAGGUUUCCAUGGUAACAUUGCCAUUUCACAGAAAUCACAAAGCACAACAGACUAACAUAUGCCUUGGGUGAUUUUAGAAGAAAUCUAAGGCAUGUCCAGUUAUGUUAUGUACUCAGACAUUUUUAUGACAAAAAGGAAUUUGGACAGCGGACAUCCGUCUGAUGGAAAACAGCCCUUAAGAACUGUAGAAGUUUUAGUUUUGGGUCUAUUUUGCACUUACUUUUGAAACUCUAAGGAGGUUAAUAUGAGAUGUUAUAUGUCUGAGAUUGUUUAAGUGUCCAAACAGUUGGUAGAUGUGUUUGCUCAUCAUG